rnacentral:rRNA from 1 species
AGAGUUUGAUCCUGGCUCAGGACGAACGCUGACGGUGUGCUUUAGACAUGCAAGUCGAACGCGAAAGCCCUUCGGGGUGAGUAGAGUGGCGAACGGGUGAGUAACACGUGGGUAACCUACCCCUCGCAGGGGGACAACCCGGGGAAACCCGGGCUAAUACCGGAUGUGCCCCCCUACAUCAGUGGGGUGUGUAAAGGAAGCUUCGGCCUCCGCAUCGGGAUCGGCCCGCGGCCCAUUAGCUUGUUGGUGAGGUAACGGCUCACCAAGGCUGCGAUGGGUAGCUGGUCUGAGAGGACGAUCAGCCACACUGGGACUGAGACACGGCCCAGACUCCUACGGGAGGCAGC